rnacentral:rRNA from 1 species
GUACACUCCUACGGGAGGCAGCAGUGGGGAAUUUUGGACAAUGGGCGAAAGCCUGAUCCAGCAAUGCCGCGUGAGUGAAGAAGGCCUUCGGGUUGUAAAGCUCUUUUGUCAGGGAAGAAACGGUGAAAGCUAAUAUCUUUUGCUAAUGACGGUACCUGAAGAAUAAGCACCGGCUAACUACGUGCCAGCAGCCGCGGUAAUACGUAGGGUGCAAGCGUUAAUCGGAAUUACUGGGCGUAAAGCGUGCGCAGGCGGUUUUGUAAGUCUGAUGUGAAAUCCCCGGGCUCAACCUGGGAAUUGCAUUGGAGACUGCAAGGCUAGAAUCUGGCAGAGGGGGGUAGAAUUCCACGUGUAGCAGUGAAAUGCGUAGAUAUGUGGAGGAACACCGAUGGCGAAGGCAGCCCCCUGGGUCAAGAUUGACGCUCAUGCACGAAAGCGUGGGGAGCAAACAGGAUUAGAAACCCCAGUAGUCCCA